UCAUGAAGUCGGAAUUGCUAGUAAUGGCAGGUCAGCAUACUGCCGUGAAUACGUUCCCGGGCCUUGUACACACCGCCCGUCACACCAUGAGAGUUGGAGAUACCCGAAGCCUAUGAGCUAACUUUUAGAGGCAGUAGUCGAAGGUAGAAUCAAUGAUUGGGGUGAAGUCGUAACAAGGUACC
rnacentral:rRNA from 1 species